rnacentral:lncRNA from 1 species
CAUCCAGAUCUUGGCCCUUUAUGGACACUACUGUAUGUUACUCUGAUGAUUCUCUGCCUUUCUGUGAGUUCAGACGUGGCACCUUAUUUCAUUUUUGAGCAACUCUGCCGUCCAGAAACUCAGUGGACCUGUAAAACUAUAUUGUUCUGCUAAACCUGUGACCACUCAUAUUUCAUGGUCACAUAAUGGAAAAAAAUAGGAUAGAAACAUGGAUAUAUUAAGAAUCAUCAGGGGACUUUGACAAUUUUUUUCUCUUAAAGCCUCCCUUUUGGGUUACUACCAAUGCAUUUCCAACAGUAGGUUGAUGUUGUUGUAAGUGGCCCUGUAACAGUAUCCACAGCACUUCUUGGUGAUUUUGGUUCAUCCACAAAGCAUGUUAUUACAGCAGAAGAAAAAAGUGCUGGUUUCAUUGGCUGCAGGGUACCAGAGAGUAACCCCAAAGCUGAGGUGUGCGCUAAAAUCCAUGGGAAGUGGCUGAAACACUCCAUAAAGAAUUACUUAAUCCUUCCAUCAGGACAUCUUUACAUUUUGCAUGUAUCCUUAGAGGACAAGGGAUCAUACAAAUAUGUGGCUUAUAAUCCUGUCAUACAUGAAUUAAAAGUUGAACCCAUUGGCCAAAAGCUCCUUAUGAGUCACCUUUCUUCAGAUGAUUUUGACAUUCUUCAUCCUGCUUGUUCACAGGUAUUAGUUGUUUUUUCACAUAUUCCUCUAACCUUGCAGUGUGUGGUUAGUGGGGUCCUGGAUCCUCAAGUGUAUUGGCUAAAGGACAGGGAAUAUUGCUCCAGGAAGCAACUGGAGAAGGUUAUAUUCUCAUGUUGCGACAGAUAGCAUUGACCCAGCAGACUCUGGAAACUAUUCCUGCAUGGUGGGAAAUAAGACUGGAGAUGUAAAAUAUGUGACAUACAUGGUUAAUGUGCUUGAAUAUGCUCCCAUUUAUAAAGGACUACAGGAUCAGUCUCUGGGUGCCACAGUACAUUUUACCUGUCAUAUUCAUGGAAACCCAGCCGCCAACCAUACUUGGUUUUAUAUUGCACAGCCUAUUCAUCCUUCCCCAUGACAUCUAACUGCAGGAAAUUGACUGAAAGUCAGUAGGGUUAUCAUGGAAGAUACUGGGCUGUAUCAGUGUUUGACAGAUAAUGGGACUGGAUUUAUGCAGUCUACUGGAAGACUUGAAAUUGAAAAAAGACAAUGGAUUCAAGCCAGUUAUAAUCAUGGCACCAAUAAGUGCAAAGGUGGUAUGUGGAGACUUUGUCACUGUGUCCUGCAAUGCCACUGGGCUGUCAGUUCCAGUCAUUCCUUGGUUAUGACAGCUAUGGAUUAAUAGCCAGCCAUCUGUCUUAAGUCCUUAGAUCUAAGUCCCCAAAGUCACACUUAUCAAGACCUGGAAUCUUGGACCUGAAGCCUGUCUACUUCAUCAUGUCCCAAGUUGGCUCUAGCUCUCUCCAUAUUCAGGAUGUGACUCAGAAACAUGUGGGGAAACACAUAUAGGAAGCUCCAGAUGGACAGAGUACCAUGCAGGGAGAAGCAUCUCUCAUGGUUGUUCCUUUUGAAACAAAUACAAAAGUGGAAACAGUCACACUUUCUUCUGCUACUCAGAAUGAUGAAAGAAAUAAAAGAGAUGGUUCAGAAACUGGAUUGAGCUCAUGUCCAGUUAAGGUACAUUCCAGUGCAGUGCACAAUCAGCAUCAGAGGAAAAUGUUAAUGGCAUCGCUGUUCCUGACGCCCCCAUCCUACUGAUCUCCUAACAGACCCACACACCAGAUACGUACAACCUGGUGUGGAGGGCAGGCAGGAAUGGUGGGCUAUCCAUUAAUGUGUAUUUUAUGAAAUAUCAGAAGAUGAACAAUGGGGUUGGUUUGGUAGGAAUUUGGCAUAUGGUUCGAGUCCCAGGUAGUGAAAAUGAGCUCCAUUUAGCUGAACUAGGGCCAUCUAGUCUUUACAAAGUCUUGAUAGUAGCAAGAAGUGGAGCAGGUGAAGGACAAACUGCCAUGCUUACCUUCUGAACCAGCAAAGAAAAAAGAGCAUUGACAAAAAACACCCAGGCAUCCUGUCCACCCAUGGGCAUCCAUAAGUAUCCUGUUGUUUCAGAAGCUGCAAACAAUUUUGGAGUGGUACUUACAGAUUCUUGAAGGCACAGCAAAGUUCCAGAGGCAUCAAAUGGCCCUACUAUCUCCAAAGCAUCAGAGACAUUGGUCUACGUCACUCAGAUUCUUCUGGAAAAUUGGGUUUCUGUAAUCACUGCUUUCAAAGUUGAAUAUGAAAGGAUGAGGACCAGUGAUUGGCUGGUGGCAGCUGAAGAUAUCCUUGCUUCCAAAAUUUCCAUGGAAGUUCAUAGUUUAGAACUGGGUUCAACAUACAAAUAAUUGAGAGUCAUUGCUAUCAAUCAUUAGGAAGGGAGUUUUAAGAGUCCAGAAUCUUGUCCUUAUCAGGUGGCUGGGUUCCCCAGUCAUUUUUUCAGCCAUCCAAUAAUGGAACUCACAUUGCCUACACAGAGGCUGUCAGUGUUGCCCAGAUAGUGCUAAAGUGGACAUACAUUCCAUGAAGUAACAAUAACACUUCCAUUCUUUUAUAACUAUUACUGACCAUCAGAUAGUGACAAUGACAGUGAUUACAAGAGGGAUGUAGUAGAAGGUUCAAAGGAGUGGCACAUGAUUGGCCAUGUCCUGUCAGAAACUUCCUAUGGCAUUAAAAUGCAGUGCUUCAGUGAAGGAGAAGAAAGUGGGUUUAUCAGUGUGGUGAUCUGCGAGAGUAAAGUAAAACAUGUUCCUGGAGAUUCUGAGUAUCCUAAAGGCUUGAGUAUCCCUCUGAAUUCUUCAGAAAGUGAAGGAAAUGUGAGGCCAGCAACCAGCCCUGCCAGAAGCAGACAUGUUAUAUCUGAUCCUUGGCUGUAUGCUGGGUGUCAUGGUCCUUAUUUUUGUGGCUUUUUAUUGCAAUGUGCCUGUGGAAGAAUCACCAGCAGAAUAUCAUAGAGAAAUAUGACCCACUGGGUUAUCUCUACCAGGGAUCAGAUAUUAAUGGGCAGAUGGUGGAACACACCACUCUCUCAGGAGCAAAUGAGAUAAAUGGAAAUGUUCAUGAAGGCUUCCUGAGCCAAGGCGGUCUCAGCAGUGGCUGUUCCCACCUUCACCAUAAGGUCUCCAAUGGAGUCAAUGCAACUGUGAAUGGGAGCUUAAAUGGAGGACUUUACUCUGGGCACACUAACUCUCUAACCAGGACAUGUGAAUUUUGAACAGCCUCAUCAUCUAGUGAACGGUGGUGGAAUGUACAUAGCAGUGCCUCAGAUUGACCCUCUGGAAUGUGUUAAUUGUCAAAAUUGUUGAAACAACAAUAGCUGUUUCACCAAAACCAACAGCACUUUCAGCAGUAGCCCUUUUCCUGUGGUCUCUAGGGUGGCACUUUGUCCUCAGUAUGGUGUGGGAAUCAGGCCCCUCAGUCAAAUGAAGAUGCCCGUAUGCCUGGCUUCUGCAUCCCUGAUUGUGGCCAGUUGCCUCACGAGAGCAUCAAGAACAAUGUGGAACCAAUCUCUACUCAGCAUACUUGCUGUCAGGAUAAUAGAAACAUUGUCAGCUCUAAUCACACAGAAGAUCCAGAAGAGUUCAGCAGAGGAGACAGCUGUGUCUCUUCAGAAAUGGACAGCAACAUUUUACAUUGGAAUCCUUUUAUUUUUGCCACCUAUCUCAGAGGACUGUGCUGAAAAGACAACAUGGCCUCUGCCUGGUGUUCCUUUAGACAGCCCCUCAGAGGUCCUACAGCAGCCCCAGGAAAC